rnacentral:rRNA from 1 species
GGUUUAAAGGGUGYGKAGGCGGRCARGUAAGUCAGUGGUGAAAUCCGGGAGCUCAACUCCAGAACUGCCAUUGAUACUAUUUGUCUUGAAUAUUGUGGAGGUAAGCGGAAUAUGUCAUGUAGCGGUGAAAUGCUUAGAUAUGACAUAGAACACCCAUUGCGAAGGCAGCUUACUACGCAUAUAUUGACGCUGAGGCACGAAAGCGUGGGGAUCAAACAGGAUUAGAUACCCUGGUAGUCCACGCCCUAAACGAUGGAUACUCGACAUACGCGAUACACUGUGUGUGUCUGAGCGAAAGCAUUAAGUAUCCCACCUGGGAAGUACGUUCGCAAGAAUG